rnacentral:piRNA from 1 species
UACAGGAGAGAAUAAUAAGUUAUUCACUUA